UACAGAGGUCUCAAGCGUUGUUCGGAUUCAUUGGGCGUAAAGGGUGCGUAGGCGGCGCGGUAAGUCGGGUGUGAAAUCUCGGAGCUUAACUCCGAAACUGCAUUCGAUACUGCUGUGCUUGAGGACUGGAGAGGAGACUGGAAUUUACGGUGGAGCAGUGAAAUGCGUAGAGAUCGUAAGGAAGACCAGUGGCGAAGGCGGGUCUCUGGACAGUUCCUGACACUGAGGCACGAAGGCCAGGGGAGCAAACGGGG
rnacentral:rRNA from 1 species